rnacentral:rRNA from 1 species
UGAGUGGCGGACGGGUGAGUAACGCGUGGGCAACCUGGCCUGUACAGGGGGAUAACACUUAGAAAUAGGUGCUAAUACCGCAUAACGGGGGAAGCCGCAUGGCUUUUCCCUGAAAACUCCGGUGGUACAGGAUGGGCCCGCGUCUGAUUAGCCAGUUGGCAGGGUAACGGCCUACCAAAGCGACGAUCAGUAGCCGGCCUGAGAGGGCGGACGGCCACACUGGGACUGAGACACGGACCAGACUCCUACGGGAGGCAGCAG